AUACCACCUGUGAUGAUGACAUUGAGAAAUGCCAGUUGGCCUUUCAUAUUUGCUAAAGGUGGUGGUUUCCUGACAGGGAAGUCCUUCACACCUUGAAUUGACAACGUUCCUUUGACGCAAGCAUCCAGUCCUAGAGAGGCGUUCAAGAUAUUAUUCCUGGCACACUUUGCGUCAACUUUGCCCACCCAAAAGAGACAAGUCUUAUCCUGGAGUUCACUCAUAGGUCAAUUGCCACUGUCAGUCCUGGAAAGGGCACAACGACUGACCAUACACGUGGGAAACAGCACAACCUGAACCCGAAAGU
rnacentral:lncRNA from 1 species